AGCCAUUUUCCAAGGACAAUUGCUUGAUGGAGGGGUCGGCGACGGAGUUUGAGCAGAGGUAGAGGAGAGUGUUGAAGUGGUGGUGGUUGAGGCGGGUGUUCUGAGAAACGGCGGAUUCGUAGAGGGAGAUGGCGGCGGGGAGGUCUUUGUGCUUGGAGCAGAGAGUGAGGGAGGAGUGGAAUUGGGCUUCUGGGGUUUGCUUCUUCUUGAUCUUCUUCGGGGUCCCCAUUGGCAUGGCGGAGUAGGGUUCUGGGGAAGACAAAAAACGGAGGUUUCUGGUUCUUAAUGUUUAAAUAAGUAUGGGCUGGGCUUGCAUAUAGAGAGUGCAAGGUGAGAGAACGUUGGAUUUAUAAGAAGAUGGGCUGGACUUUGAAUACAAACUAAAUAGUUGCUUUUUUUUUUUUUUUUCUUUUUUGAGAAUUAAUGGUUGCUUCAAGCUCUAUGAUGUUUAAGCUUGGGUCGUUUCUUCUUCCUCCUAUUCUUUCUCAUUGAAUCUGGUUCUUCAGGGUGUUGGUCUCUGUUAUCAUCGGCGAUCCCGGAGCUGGGACUGUUGUCGGACAAGUUGAAUUGAACUCAGAUGUAUAUGAAGUGAAUUGCGCUGUCCCAGACUCCCCAACCAUGCCAGGCAUGUAAAUUCAUUAUUGGUCAAUAUAAAAGUGUAUUUCUACCUUAGUCCAAUUUCAGGUAGAAUAUUUGUCUCAAAACAUGUUAUAUUUGAUGAGUCUAUAUUUCCAUAUACAUCUAUAUGUCAUACUUAUUACACAAAAACUAAUGUCUCCCCAUUAAUGUAAACCUCUACAACAUCAACACCACAAUUAGUCAUACAUCUUAAUACAAUAAUUCUACCAAGACCACCAUUCUCACUGAUUAAUCAACCUUCAUCAUCUAGAGCCUCAGAGUCUUUAAAUUUAACAUCCAUUAGUGCUCUAGAGUGUUUCAAUUUUUCCACACCUUUUAGUUCAACCCUGCCAUCUUGAUUUUUAGCCAGAAAGUCUUUAUGUUGUUCUUCCAGUUCCUUCAGUAAGUUCACAUCCUAUGCAAUUGUUCAGACCAGUGAUGUCUUUGCUAUUGAGUCUAGUUAUUUUAAGCAUUCUAGUAAAAUGAAAAUUUAGUUGGGUGUAAAUUACUUUAUAGUAUCAGAGGAAUCCAAAUGGUACUAUUGCUAGACACAAUGCUAGAUUUGUUGCAAAAGGAUAUAGUCAAGAAGGUGGUAUUGCCUCUAGUGAGACAUUUAGUCAUGUGGUUAAACCCACCAUUGUCAAACUCAUUUUAGCAUUGGCAGCUCAAUUUAAUUGGUUAGCAAAACAAUUAGGUGUAAAAAUGCAUAUUUCUUCAUGGCGAAUUACAUGAAGAAGUGUACAUGGCUCAGCCUCAAGGGUCUAUUAGUCAGAUCAUCCUUCUAGUUUUGUGUGCAAACUUAAAAAGUCUUUGUAUGGUCUAAAGCAAGCUCCAAGGGCUUGGAAUGAAAAGUUUACUAGUUUUCUAUAUGUUUUGGGUUCCAAAUCUCUUAUGCAAAUCAAUCUCUAUUUGUUAAACACUCUUUUCUUGGUAGUGUGGUUUUGUUGUUCUACGUGGAUGAUACUAUUCUUACUAGUAGCAGUUCUCAACUCAUCUGUGAUGUUAUUUUGGCCUUAACUAAGGAGUUUAAUAUGAAAGAUUUGGGGCAAUUGAAUUACUUUCUGGGAUUGCAGAUUACAUAUCAGUUCACUAGUUUGUUUAUCUCUCAAACUAAGUGUAUUGGAGAUUUGUUGCAAAAAGUUGACCGGCAAGAUUGCAAGCCUUGUGCUACACCAUGUUUACCUUAUCAUAGGCUUUUAAAAGAUGAGGGAAAGCUAUAUUAUAGUCCAGAGCAGUAUAUAAGUAUUGUUGGAGCUUUGCAAUAUCUCACUUUUAGUAGGCCUGACAGUGCCUUUUCAGUCAAUAACCAGCAUUGUCAAUUUAUGCAUAACUCAAUAAACUCU